GAGGAGCUGAGGAGGAGACGGCGAGGCUGCAGAGCGGGGGUUAAACGGAGGAUGAAGAAGAGGAGGUUUAAACUCUACAUCCCUGCAAUCACCACUGGAAACAAAUGUGGCUACACGAGCAGAUGCUGGAUUCCAACGUCACCAUUCCCGGCUUCCAGACGGUUCGAGCCGACAGGGAUACCACUGCAACCGGCAUGAAGAAAGGAGGGGGACUGUCCGUGCUCAUAAACAACAGGUGGUGUAACGCCGGGCACGUCUGUGUGAAAGAGCGUCUGCAGCCCGGACAUCGAGCUUGUCGCCGUCGAACUACGUCCAUGUUAUCUGCCAUGGGAAUUUUCCAGUGUGAUCGCCAUCACUGUCUAUAUUCAUCACAGUGGUCUUCAUCAUCAUCAUCACUGUCUAUAUUCCUCCGUCUGGGAAAGCAGAAGCAGCGUGUGACGUCAUCCACACUGUGACUGCAGGACUACAAACGAAACACCUGGAGGCCUCCAUCAUCAUCACAGGGGACUUCAACCAUGUUUCUCUCUCGUCCACACUCCCAACCUUCCACCAGUUUGUCACAUGCAGCACCAGAGACAAUAAGGCCUUGGACCUGCUGUAUGCAAAUGUUCCUGUUCUUUAUGUCUGUAGCCUAUUUAUUUCACUCAAAUGUUGCUGUGACAAGUGAAUUUCCCCAUUGUGGGAUUAAUAAAGUUAUCUAUUUAUCUAAAA